rnacentral:lncRNA from 1 species
UCUACCGACAAUUGGCUGCGCGCACUUCGGCCAGUGAAGUCUACGCGGCCUUUCGUUACUUCAACGCCGUGUCGCUCCUCAUCACUGCCUUGUGGCGGUCGUCGAAGUCGAAACCGUCGAAUGGAGCUGCUGCUCUGCCCGCUGGGUCCUUCUUCAUCAACGGCACUUUCCCCAGUCUGCCGACAUCGCCCAGUUAUGCUGACGCUCGGGGACAGGUUCAGAGUAAAGCCGUGCUGCUGGACUACAGCCCCGGGGCUCGGGGAUUCGUGUCCGUGCGCGAGACGGAGUUCCGCGAUGCGGCCCAGCCACUGCGCAGUGGGGCCUACCAGGUCUCGGAUCGUGGCUCUUCGCGGUCCUGGAUAGGGCGCGUCGACUGGCCAGGAGGCCACAGGCUGGAGCCAGACCCCGAGUGCGUCCUGAAGGAGGUCAACUGCGGGGGAGCCUGG